UGGCGCGCGCGGUUGCUGCGGUGACGCGCGGGACAGGCCCCGGUGGCGGCGGCGCCGCUCCUGCGCCCGCCCCGCGAACUCGGAGCGCUCGCUGGCUGUGUUCUUUUACUGUAUUUUGGAUGGGAUUUUCUUUUACUUCAUUGCCAUCUAUAGAAACUGAUGAAUAUUUUUAGUGCUAAGGCUCCAUAUGUCACCAGAUGUCCUUCUGCCUGACGGAGAUGUUUCUGUGGUCUUUGAAGACCAACUUGCAUAUUAGAGAUGAAGACAUUGGGAUCCACCAGUACUAUGCCAAGAAAGAACCAGCAUCACAGAUGAAGCACAGUUACUUAGAAGAGAGGCAAAAGCUAGCAGAAUCUCGAGAUUAUCCUUGGAUCCUGAAAACCAAGCGACCAGACAAACUGAGAGAUGCACUCAAGGAGGUAGAGGACUUAAUGCAGAACAGUCCAUGUGUGCUGAGCAAAUGGAAGAACAAACAUACCUGCCAGCUCCUCUUUCACUCAGGUGCUUUGGUGUCCCUAAGCCUUUCUGGGCCACAGCUGGAGAAAGUGGUGAUUGACAGGACCCUGGUGGGGAAGCUCAUCUCCGACACCAUCAGUGAUGCUGUUCUUACAGACAAUUUCAUCAUCUUGUCAUUUGAGGACCAUAACCAACUCUGCUUUAUUCAGUUUACAAAGACAAUGGAUUCUCCCGAUGUAAACAAAAGACUGGAAAAACUCUCUUGUUUGGACUUUAAGAUUUCUUAUGUUGAUAUACUUGGACCAGAAGGUAGAAGGAUGAAACGUCACCUGGCAAUAAACUGUAUGCAAGAUAUGGUCAUUUGCUGGUGGUCAGCAACUAGUGAUGGAGCAUGGCCUUGGUCUCCUAUUUCCUGUCAGAGGGACAGAGCCAACCUAUUGCUAUUAGGCUGUGCACAUGGCAAAUUGGAGGUGCUGAGCUAUGUCCGCACGGAGUGGGACCCCCUCGAUGCCAGGUUCAGCUCUGUCCAGCCCGAGCAGGUGCUGACGGUGGAGCACUCGGUGUCCUCAGCCAAGGAGCCCAUGGCCGACAGCUGCGUCUACAAGUGUGUCCGGAACAGAAUCCAGUGCACCACCGUCACCAGGAUCCCGCUGCGAGCCAGGGCCAUCAGCUGCUGCAGAGAUGUGACGGAAGACAAACUGGUGCUAGGCUGUGAAGACUCGUCAGUAGUUCUGUACGAAGCCUACAACCAAGUGACUCUGUUGGCCCAAGCAGAGCUGCUCCCUGCUGUAAUAACCUACCACCCCUCCGGAGCCGUGCUGGUGGUCGGCAGCUCUCAAGGGGAGCUGCAGCUUUUUGACACAGCACUGUCCCCAAUUAAAAUUCAGCUCUUGGCACAGGACUAUUCACCUGAGGCAACUCUGCAAUUCAGUAAACACUGUGAAGUGCCCACCAGCCUCAUCCAGAUCCAGUGGGCUGCUCUACCAGUUGCAUUUCCCAACCCCGACAGCAUGGAUAUUCACGACCUUUUGUUGGUUAGAUUUGACAAAGGACCCUUGGGAGUACUUCAGUUUAAACUUGGUGUGAUCACAAGAGGACAACUGGGCCCUGUGGAAAUCAUCCACCAGUACAUUCGUUAUGAUGAGAUACAGGAGGCAAUUAAUGUCCUGAGCACCAUGAACUGGAACACGAUGGGUCAGCAGUGCUUUAUCUGCCUGAGUGCCAUUUGCAACCACCUCCUUAAACAAAAGCUUACACCAGCCAGAGAAGCACAGCUUGAGGCAAGCCUUGGAACAUUUUAUGCUCCAACAAGGCCUCUCUUGGAUAGAACUGUGCUGGAGUACAGGGACCCCAUCAGCAGAUACGCAAGAAGGUUCUUCCACCACCUGCUCAGGUAUCAGAGGUUUGAAAAAGCGUUUCUGCUUGCUGUUGACAUUGGUGCUCGAGACCUGUUCAUGGAUUGAGGGAGCACCUCUGUACCAGGGUGGAGAAUGCCAGUGCUGGGUGAGGAGAUGGGUGCACAGCUGCUUACAAGAGGGAGGGACUGUCAGUACCUGGCUCCACAGGUGAUAGAUAACAUGUUUUACUCUCUCCAAAAAGGCUCUCCAACUUUCUUCAAGAGGAGUUUCAAUGUUCACAGACCAAUUAACUCCAUCCUUUCCUACUGUUUGCCUUUCCUUUCCUCUCUCAACACCUACUCUUCAUUUCCCAUCCUACCAAUGCCCUUAAACAUAAAUGUAUAUUUCUGAAGAGUUCCUCAUGGCUUAUGUUACUGUGAGAUCAAAACCAGUUCUUUAAUGUCCUCGUUCUGCUUGCAUUACCUUUGAGAUUCCUCAUAGUUUCCCCUAAAUUAUGCAAAAAGCAGCACACAUACCUGCCUCCUCUGGGGAAAUGUCCUUUUGCUAAUUCAUCAUCUAAGUCAGUCCCUAAUGAGCAAACUUUACAAUAAGCUAACAGUGGUACUGCUGCAAGACCACUAAGUACAGGACUCAAGAAGUUUAAACAUGCAUAGGUCAUUAAGAGUAUUUAUUUGUGCCAUGGUAAUUUCUAGGGAAUUUGGCUUCAUUGUGCUUAAUACUGUGUGAAAAAUUAGAUAACCUGUUCCCUGAAACCUUGCAGUCCUUCUAGGUAUUAGUGUAACAAUACUACUGCUAAACAAGGGCUGUGCAUCCCUCACUUCUGCUUAAUACUGAAUGAUUCCUAUAUAUUGUUUAUGUAGGGCAAAAUGCGAUUAAUAAUAUACAAUUUGACUUUGCAUAUAUUUAAAGUGUUUUUAUCCAUUUUUACAACCUCAGAUAGCUCUAGGAGUCGCAUCACCUUAUUCCCAAUUAAUUAAAUGGGAUUUCAAGAAGAAAUAGUAGUCGAAAUAAAGAUACCUGAUGACACAAGCAAAAUGAGAAAGAAAAAAAUCUGUUUUUUAAAGGGGGACAGAGAAGGAACAAAAAGGAAAGGAUAGAGAAGAAUGGAUAUAACAGAGGUUGAGGAGGAUGCAAACAUUGAGUACCCAUCACAUGAGGCUUCUAAGGAAGUGUCCUAUAUCUUUGAGAAUUUACCCUGAGCAUCAAUUUUACCAAACAGGGCUCUACAGCAUUCCCAUUAUUUGUUUUGAGGUUGAAAAGAAGUUUGAGAGAAUGCUAUCUGGGGGCUAACUUCUUUCAAAGAAAUGAAAAAGAAAAAAAAAAGGCUUAAAACUACAGCUAUAGCGUCACUAGAUGAUGCCAUAGCAAGACACACAUACACUGCUGUGUCUCUCCCGGAGCUUUACCCUCACGUCACAUCCAAGUCCAUCAAUUAAUCUCAUCUCCUACAAAGUUCAAUAAAAAAAUAAAACUGAAAAGGACAUAUCACGAACAACAGCUCCAUUUAUUGGACAGUGACUGAUCCAAUCUGUGACAGAAAAGAUCAAGCAGUGGAAGGGUUGUUAGCUUGAAAUCCUUUUAUAGUGCGUUCCAGCUCUCAGCUGCUGAAAAUUCAAAAGGCCAUCCCAUGUACCAAAGGUAGCAAAAAAUGCAAGGAAAAGACACUUUAAUAAAACUGUCAGAUCUUGGGUGAUACACUGAUGAGGAAAGUGCAUGCUUCGAAGAAAUGUUGGAGUGUUGCCCAGAAAUAUCCUAUAGACAAGUGCACAUCGUGUUUCAAAUGACUUCUGCUUGCCAACGGCCAGCUCUGUGAGUCACAAAGGUGAGGGCAAAAAGGAAGUAGUCCAAAAAGUAAGCAAACUGUUAAAUGAUAAAAUAGAGCCCUUUCAGCAAGCUCCUGAUAAGCAGCUGGAAAUUGUUUUUAUUGUCACCAUUGUGUUUGAGAGAGAUGUGAUCUUUGGACUGAUAAAUUCUUAGGUAAUUGUGUGAAAAAAAAUCUGUCAUGAAUAUGCAGAUAAUUUAAUCAUUUUUAUGUCAUUCUUUAAAGCACCCUGCAAUCUGGUGCUUCUUCUUUCUGUUUUUUAGUUUUCUAGUUUAGUUCUGCUUAGACAGUUAUAAAUUCUUUAAAAAAUCCACUUUCUCUGAUUUAUUUGAAUGAGAAACACCUAAAUUUUAUCUGAAAUGGUCUAAUAAGGAGAUUUCAUAUCUGUAAUAUUUUCUUUCUAAAGAUGGUUUAGAGAUGAGGCAAAGACUACUUUUUUUUAUUGUUCUUCAUGACAGCAACUCAAGGAACAACAAAAAAAGCCACUUACCAACCUACUGCUAACCUUUAUUUCUUACAAGGCCCUGUUAGAUAAUGAUGGAUGUGUAGCACCUUUAAAUGUCUUUACUCGAACCAGAAAAUGGGCAAAACCAAGACCUGAAAUAACAGCUGCUUUGAUACACAGAGAGUGCACAGGCUCUUCACUGACAAAACUUCAUCAUUUGCUGCAGUUGUUUCCAUCCAAUCCCCAAGCUUACUAUUUGAAAUUGCAUGGAGGAACACAAUACUUUUCAUAGUUUAAGCUACAAAAAGACAAUCAUUAAGCAUUGUCAGAAGGUAUUUUAAAUAAGUCUGCCUAUACAUCCAAACCUCUGUAAGUUCAGACUUGUCCAAGAGCCCUUGGGUUUUCUAUUGUUAUCUAAAUAAGCUGACAAUAUCUGCUGUUUAAUCUUCAUAGAAAUCAUACCUUUCUACUCAAGCCCUUUUCUCCUGACAACCAAGUUAGACCUACAAAGAGAGGAAAUACAGAGUUCGCCACAAGUUCGUAACCCAUUACUUUGCUCCAAGACACUUGCACAUUUUUUAAGUCACACCUGUGUUUGUGAUGAGAAGACACUUCUGUCUCCUGCAGACUGCAGAUCCUGCAAGUCAGUUCCAGGCUUUCCUGUGUAAUCAGUCUCAGUUUCCCUAAGAUUUUCACUUUUGUUUUAAUAAUGUUGUUGUUGUUGCUGCUAUUGUUAUUAAAUGAGGGGUUACUGAAAGCAACAUGUCUUUCUCCUAACACUAUUACUCUCACUUUUUCAUCUAAACUUCUCUUUCUAAAGUCACUUUUCCUGUAAGAGUUUCUGUCAUAUUGAUGCAGGUGGCAGUAAACUGACAUCAAGAAGGAUGGUUUCACCUGAAAUCUUCCACAUUAGGGAGAAUAUAGUUGCUUUUAUGGCAUGCAGAGGACAUCCACUACCUUGCUCUAGAUAAGGGUGAAUUGGCACUAGCUGAUGUGGCAAAGAGAAAGGCUAAUGACAUUGAUGCAG